ACCAGGAUGGCUGAAUGGUGAAGGCAUUGGAUCUAUGACCUAACGGACUGAUGCCCUUGUGGGUUUGAACCCCACUCCUGGUA